AAACCUCAUUUACACGUUGGCAGUGGAGGUGAGGGGUUCUUGCUGGAGACCCCUGUGUACCUGUGGCCUUCUGAAGAUUUGAUGAAAUCAGCAAGUAAGGACUAUUUCUGUGACAAAGGCUGGAUCUGAGAGACUUUAUUCUGAAGGUCAUGUGCAAGUACUUCUGAGUACAGGGAAAGGGCUGCAUGGCUCCCUGCGUGUUCGUGUGAUGACCGAGGAAUGUAGCUUUGUUUGCAGCUUCUAGGAGCAUUAGAUGUGAAAAUACACGGUUAAAGAUCUAAAACUGUUUAGAAAAUUAUAUUGAUGAAAAUGUACAACAAAGCUUAAGAGAGAUAUGAACUCUGAAAUGCUGACACUGUUCUACACAGUUUAAAUAAGUUUAAAAAAGUAAAAUCCCUGAAGCUCUAUGAUGUUGUAAAACUAUCUCAAACCAUCAUGUGAGCUUUCACAUUCAAAACAGUAUGAGAUGGUUUUACAACAUCAUAGAAGCCAAAUCUUGUGUUCUCCCAUGGCGGAUAUUUCAUAAACAUACAAGCAAACAGAAUGAAUACCUUUUUCCAGGAGUCUGGUGAGCAGUUGCUCUUUUUAAGUUUAAUUAAUGAAGUAGUAACUUUGUGUGUACUUGGGGUUCCAGUUUCACAGUGGGUUGAACCAUACACUGAACAUCCUUGGAAAAGUGCCAUUUAAAACAGUUUUUUUGGGGGGGGGAAAUAAGUAUUCCAAGGUUGCAUACUACAAAACUGGAAAAGUGGAAAUACAGGAGGGAAUGCUGUGGCAAACGUAAUGUCAACUCAUGAAGGAGCUCCCUUUUCUUGCCAGGAACAUGGUAACUCUUGUAGGCUUGCUGUACCUACUCACUAACUGUAUGAGAAUUGCUGACAACUAACCUUAGAGUCCUCAGAAGAAAAAAAAUUUAAAAGUACUUGUAACUUUCUUUAGUUCCCUGCUUGUACACUAGGUAUAAACGAUUUAACUUGGAGUUGAACUG
ensembl:lncRNA